rnacentral:rRNA from 1 species
AUUGAACGCUGGCGGCAGGCCUAACACAUGCAAGUCGAGCGGAUGAAGGGAGCUUGCUCCUGGAUUCAGCGGCGGACGGGUGAGUAAUGCCUAGGAAUCUGCCUGGUAGUGGGGGAUAACGUCCGGAAACGGGCGCUAAUACCGCAUACGUCCUGAGGGAGAAAGUGGGGGAUCUUCGGACCUCACGCUAUCAGAUGAGCCUAGGUCGGAUUAGCUAGUUGGUGGGGUAAAGGCCUACCAAGGCGACGAUCCGUAACUGGUCUGAGAGGAGGAUCAGUCACACUGGAACUGAGACACGGUCCAGACUCCUACGGGAGGCAGCAGUGGGGAAUAUUGGACAAUGGGCGAAAGCCUGAUCCAGCCAUGCCGCGUGUGUGAAGAAGGUCUUCGGAUUGUAAAGCACUUUUAGGUGGGAGGAAGGGCAGUAAGUUAAUACCUUGCUGUUUUGACGUUACCAACAGAAUAAGCACCGGCUAACUUCGUG